AUGGUUUUAAAUGUAUUAAGUAACAAUAAAAUCUUGAAAAAGAUCUGUUCUUAUCAGUUUAAUAUCUGAUACGUCCCCUACCCGGGGACCAUAUAUUAAAUUGAUUUUUGGAACUAGGAGAUGGAAUAGGGGCUUGCUCCGUCCGCUCCAUGCAUCGGUCUGGUAUUGCAGUACCUCCAGGAGCGGUGCACCUCCU